GACGGGGGGGGGCAAGUGUUCUUCGGAAUGACUGGGCGUAAAGGGCACGUAGGCGGUGAAUCGGGUUGAAAGUGAAAGUCGCCAAAAAAGUGGCGGAAUGCUCUCGAAACCAAUUCACUUGAGUGAGACAGAGGAGAGUGGAAUUUCGUGUGUAGGGGUGAAAUCCGUAGAUCUACGAAAGGAACGCCAAAAAGCGAAGGCAGCUCUCUGGGUCCCUACCGACGCUGGGGUGCGAAAGCAUGGGGGAGCGAACAGG
rnacentral:rRNA from 1 species